GUUGUGAAACUGAAAUGGUAUUUGGUUAAACCUCGAUCUUUAAUAAUGAUUUCUCAGGAAAUCUCAUUCCUUAAGUAUUAUUUCUGUUUGCCCAAUUUGUGUAAAGGUAUGACAGACCUGGUAAAGCACAUUUUAGUCUUGUUUAAUUUAUUAAUCAACGUUUUCGGUAGAGUUUACUGUGUUGACACAUUUUCCGCCAAACCGUAGUUCCAUGUUUAGUGCAAGAGUUGUCGUUCUUUUCACAACAAAGAAGUUAUUUCUGAAAUACGGGAUUUAAUUCCGGGUGUGCUUAUUGAAAUAUUGUUAUUAUGGAAUAAAACUACUUAUUGUAUAUAAUUAAUGGUCAUGCAUAUUUGUCAGUGUAAUGAUCGCGUAUACGAGAUCCGCGAAAUGUAAGUAAUUACGGGAAAUAGUCCGUGAUAAUGACAUCUUGGUUGCGAACGUAAACAACUUGGUAAGUUGAAAUUUAACUGUCCCAGAGAUCGGAUGUUUUUCGUUCUCCUAACCUAUUUAUUUCACGUUUGGCAUUGUGAAUUUAUAUAAGAAGUAAAGUUAAGCUAUUUUAGCAUUUAUUUACACAUCUUCAGGUAUUAAUUGUGUAAAGAGACGGUGAAUUCCGUUACACAUUGUAUUUGACGGUGGCGUUUUUGCCGUGAAACUAUUUUAGCCCAACCCUGGCCUAAGUUUGGAAUUGUUCAUUUUAUUAUUGAAACGUAUAUUUAUUGCUAUUUGUUAUUUUUGUCUAAACACUGACAUUAUGCAGGUUCUUUGACUUGGUUUAAAUUGUGUGAAUUAUAUAUUGACUUUGAAGAAUUGAAAUUAAUAUUCCUGCAUAAUAAAUUAUUUUAUUUAGAACUCUUUGUUAAUUUGCAGCCUUGUCUACUAUUCCGCUCGGUAGUUACAUUUUUACAACAUUGGUGGCAGCGGGCUUAUUCAUUCCUCGCGUUGUUUGUAAAAUUUCAUUGAAAUUAUUUUUCUUUGAGCUGCAAAUAUUUUUUUUUUCUAUUAGUAAAAGAUUUUUGAUUUUUUUUUCUUCUGGAUUUUAUAAUCCUAACGAGUUCUGGAAUAUAUAUAACCUUUAAGGUUGUGAAUUCAACAGGUUAUAUAGAUUCAUAUUUUUUGUCAUUGAGUUGAGAAGUCGACAGAUUGUUUAAUAAUAGCCUUUAAAGUUGAGAAGUCAACAGGUUAUUUAUUACUUGAAGUUUGAAGUAUAUAUAUUUUUUUUUGGAAGAGAUUUGAUUUAAAUAUAUUUGACUUUUGAAAUAAGAGCAGUAAAAUCGCUCUUUAGUACAUUGAAAUGUCUGAUACGGGGAAACCUUACGACUUUCGCUCUAGAUCCCUGACCCGUUCUCAACCUUUAAAAGGAGGGAGGGGUAGAGGUAAAUUUGGUUUAAAUGAAAGUAUGAGUACUUAUGAAACAGAAAUGGAGAUUGAGGUAGGUAGUAAUACAAUAGCUAG
rnacentral:lncRNA from 1 species